CCUUCCUUGAGGACUUUGAUCAUUGGUUCCCUGGUAAUAACUGGCUGUUUUAUCAUAAGACCACAGAACUAACCAUCUUGAAUCAAGAAAAAGGUAUAGUUUUCUUUAUUGUUUUUUAGUUUCCAUUUGGCUCAAAGUACUGGAUUAUGUACUGCAGCGUAUAAAAAAAGGUACAGUUAAGGACUUCCUGCAAAUUAACUGAAUGCAAAAAUGUUAAAUAGGGCUAUCAAUAAGAAACAUUGAAGAUUCAAAAUCAAAUCAAAUAAGGUUUACUUAACUUUCACUGAUAUUGCAGUAUGAACUAACUAACCCACUAGCCAUUUUCUACUAUUAUAUUUUACCCUCUUAAAUUGUGCUAGUUUUCAUUGUUUUCUUAUCAAUUUUCCAUAAUUAAAAUAAUUCUAGAUUCAAAUUAAUUCCUUGUUAUCAAUUGUAAAGUGUAAGUGAUUUUCAUGUCUGCCAGGGAAAUGUCACUUGUGUGUCAUGUGUGAUUAUGAAACAAAAUUAGUAAUGAGCAUCUCCCCUCAAACUACAAGAUUUUUUAUCAAGCUUGUAUCAUGUCUUUUACAUAUACACCUGCAGUAUAGACAUUUUUGUGUUUAUAUAAUAGAUUAUGUUAUACCUUUACAUAGUUUAGGUUUGUGUACCUAAUAAUAAGGUUGGUAGAAGAGAGUAGAUUAGGAUGUUACUGAGAUAGUUAGGGAUGAAUUUUAGUGUUUUGUAGCUCAUUUGUUUCUAUAGAUUAAAGCAGUGUCAAGGCAUUUUUGGGGAAACUGGGGAAAAAAAACAUGCAAAACUUCUUAAAAACCUUAAAUAAUUUGUUAAAUGAUAUGUUAACUUUUUCAAACCAAAACAAGUAACAGUGGUGUAGAUUUCUGGAGUUGAAUUUAGAAAUUUUAAGAAUUAUUUCAGAAAUACUUUAUUAGAUUGACUUUGGUUAGAACAGUAGAAGUCUAUGCAACUACCAAUUUUCAAGUUUUAGUAGAUACAAGUGGUGAAAUAUAAGAGGGAGAAGUUAAAACUUUGUACAGGUUUUAUGUUACAGCAUACAUGUAAUCUUGUGGAUACAUGAAGUGACAGGCAAUGUACAAUAAAGUUUUGAUAGUCCACUAACUUAAAACAUAGAUAAUUAGUGUUCUACUUGAACAUUUAGUAUAUUGACAAAGAAAAUCUCAAGAGGUGUUUUUAUGAUUAUUUUAUAGGCUUGGAGGAAUACCAUGACAAAGAGAACAGAAGUCUCUGAUUAAGGUUUGUUACAAUAUAUAAUUCAUCUAAUGCAUGCAAUAUUUUAUCUUUUAUUAAGACAAUUUGAUGAUUUUGUAAUUUAACCAUUAAAAAUAUAUAAUAGAUGUAUAUUGACUGAAUAUCCUGUUCUUUUUUUAAAACACAUGAUUUGUACAGAUCGGCGACCUACAUUUGCGCAGAUUUUCAAAUGACACGCAUUACGUUUGUACGGAGAAAUGGUAUUACAUUUGCGCGAAUUUACCUGUAGUUUACCUGGCUGUUUUUUUCCCUCUAAUUUGUUUUUCGAUUAUGUUUUGAACAAAAAACAGUGAUCAUACCACAUCUUGUUAUUUCAUAUAUUGAUAAACAUUAUUUGUUUAUAUGAACUUUAAAAAAGCGCUACAUUUAUCAUUUUAUGUAAAAGAAAAGUUUUUAAUAAAAUAAAGCGACAAUCAUGAAAAAGAACAUUCAGAAAUUGUUGAACUGUAAACUGAAUUUUCUCUUCGUCUGUGCGUUUUACAAUGGCUUGGUUAUCACUGCUGUGAAUUUUAAUGUAAGUAGUCAUCUAAACUUGUAAAAUAAUCUCAGCAAAAGAGUAGAUGACUGGAUGAGUUGAAUAAAACUGUUCAUUGUAACAUCUAUGAAAAGACUAUGGCUCGUUGUCUGAUAUAUAAUAAAGUCCAUCUUGUUAGUUUUAUUUUUUUUAUUUUAUCAAGUUAAUUUGUUCAAAUUAAUUUCAUUUUAUAGUAAGUAUAACAAAAUUAGAUAAAAAAUGUUUUUGUCGUGCAAAAUUGGAUUUUUUUUCUGCGCAAAUGAAGGACCAAUCCGUGCAAACAUAAUGCGCUGGUACAGACAGUCAUGGGUACUACUUGUACAAGUAAUUUUUAUUUACUUCUUCAAGUAUAUAAAAAUUACUUGUACUUGCUGUUAAAGACAAAAACAAUUGAUCAUAUCUCUUUUGUGUAUAAAUGAUAAAUCUUUUAUGAUCAAGAUGUUCUUCCAUAACUCUUUCAAAACUAAGUCCAAAUAUUUCACAUGGUAUUUUUCAAAGGAGAAAAAUCCUUUUUAAUGUUUAUUUACUCUACAAUGCAACCAUCCUUAAUCACACAAAAGGAGGAAAAUAAUAUAUGUUAACAUGGUUAGGUAAAAAUGUUCAAUAAGAUAAUUAAAUAUAGAUAGCUCUGGUUCUUGUGAACUUACAGACAGGUUUAUGAUGUCCAAUUAGGCCACCAUUAAAAAUUAAGUCUUUUCAUAAACAUAAAUAGACCUACUUAUAACAAGUCUGUCAGUUUUUGACUUGAAUAAGUCUGAAAAUGAGAGUACAUUAUUAUGAUAAAUACAUUUUUGGGCUACUAUUGCUUUCAAGCAAUCUGUAGACUUAUACGAUUGGCUCAGGGUGUCAUGCCCUCACGUCAACGGUUUUAUUCUAAACAUUAAGGACCAUCUCAGAUUCUUAUGAUUGUCUUGCUUUAAAAGGUAAAAACAAACAAAGGGAUUGAACUUAAACAACUUUCCUAUAAUGUUCUUUUCAUAAUCUUCAUGUUUGAUAUUUCCCUUGACUUAUAUGCCUGUUUUUAACAACACGGAAAAUCAGAAUUAAGCAGUAUUUAUAUUUAGUGUUUUUAUGAAUUUAGAAACACGUCAGAGGGAAUUCCCCAGUUGUGAUAAAAAUGCGAGAGUUCUCUGAAUUCCGAUAAAUCUAUUUCUGUCAUAUAAGAACUGCAGUGGAGUUUUUCUUAUAUGUCACUGUUAUGAAACUGAUAUUUAAUAAUGUACUUCAAUAAAGAAAUAGAGAACCAUCUAGGUCGUUUAAUUAAUGUACGUUCUUUCUCCAGGGUUUGUUUAGGUAAUUAUGCGCAUGUGUAUAGUUUUCUUGACUUCAAGGGGUAUUAGAUUGAAUUGUUGCUCUGGAUUCCCCACUCAAUUGAUUAAUUUAUAACUCAUGGGAUCCUUUCUAUGUAUGUCUGCUAUUGAGGGUUAUUGUUGUUGCAUAAUUUUAAAUCAUAUGCAUCAUAAAUGUAGUCCACAUUGUAAAAGUAACUACAACAUCCCUUCAGGCGAAAUGGAGUCUUCCAUAUUAUCAUUUCGAGUUGUCUCCCUUCAUCCAUCCAUCAAUCCAUUAGAAUGCAGUAACGUCUCAGUCAUUACAGCUGAACGGACGUGCUGGGCCAGCUCUCCUUUACCCGUUAUCUUGGAUGAGGGUUUACAGUUAGAUGAUCAACGAUUUACUACUUUAGAUGACAGAAACCAAUCCAACGCCGUACAGUAGACGUAGUAACAUGCACUCCAAAACCCAUUGUAUCAUGGGGGAGUGUUAUGCUGAUUAACGUCCAAGGGCUGUAUCCUAGGUGUUAGAUGACUGACCUUCAUUUCACUGCCUCGUGGCUUUGGUCCUGAUAAUGCUUCCUGUCAUCUUUAAUACUACAUCCACGAUUCAUCUACCAGUACUCCAUCAUUGAGGUUAGUGGGCUGCCAAGCUGACCAAUCUGGCCCUGAAAGCAGCCGUUGUGAAGAAUAUAACAUCAAAUUAGUAAACAAACCAAAUCAAAACAGUUCACAAAACCAAGAUGGCGACCUCCAAAAUGGCGACCACCACUCGUUCCUAACCGAUGGCACAACAUUAUUUAAAUGCUCACCAAUCGCCUUUCGGGCACCAAGUCGACCGUUCGAGGGCUGUAUAGCCAGUCAAGGUCGUUAAACACUUCCAUAUAUUCGGGAAGUUACUUCCGUGAAUUCUGAAUUAAAACAGCACGUUGAGAAGAUAAACUUGUUCUGUCGAUAAAUGUCGUAUUAUAUUAAAAACGAUCGCACUUUAAACCGAGGAAUGUGUACGGAAAGAAGUUAUGAUCACUGACCCAAAGGAAAUUAAAUAUUUAAAGAGUUAGGAAUGGGGUUCCUUCCUAGAAUUAACGUAGGAAAAUAGGUGAUACAUGUAAGAUAUGAAAUGAAAUAUCUUCUCUCACUCUGAGUCUCAGUGACUGCUGAGGAAAGUAAACUUAUUAUUGAUAGUACAAAACUAAAACACAAUAGGCCUAAGUAUAUUGUUCACAUAAUUUUAUCCAGGAUUGGCUAUUUUGUAACUAUUUAGAUUAUGUAUAUUUUACAUGUGCAGUUGAAUUAGUUUUGAAAAUAAUAUUAUCCAGCUUAGCUACAUGUAUACAUGUGUCAAUGAAAACAAUGGCAAUCGUAUCCCUCAGAGCAAUCUGCUCUUUUUUAUGUAAGUCAAAAAUAAAAAACGAUUUGUUAAUGUCUGAGCUCUAACUGAAUAUUGUAUGUUGAUUUCUAGAAUUCAUAAGUCCAUCCUUCUGUCUGACUGUUCAUCAACAAUUUCUGUAAAUGCAAAUGCUCCAAAAUUACGGGAUAGGAAGCUAAUGAAAUGUUGCACAGUUGUUGAAUAUAUGUACAUUGUGGAUGACCAAUAUUGCUUUGUUUGCAUUAGUAUUAUUUAUUUGUUUCUGUGUUUUUAUGCCCUAUUUUUAUGCCCCGUUUAUGGGCAUUAUGUUUUCUGGUCUGUGCGUCCGUUGUUCUUUCUUUCGUUCGUUCAUUUGUUUGUUCGUCCGUCUGUCCCGCAUCAGGUUAAAGUUUUUGUUUGAGGUAGUUUUUGAUGAAGUUGAAGACCAAUCAACUUAAAACUUAGUACACAUGUUACCUAUGAUAUGGUCUUUCUAAUUUAAAUACGAAAUUAGAGAUUUUCCCCCCAUUUUCACUGUCCACUGAAUAUAGAAAAUGAUUGCGUGGAUGGGCGUCCGUUUACUGGGGAUACAUUCUUGUUAAAAUUUGCAAGCACUGGACAAUUACUUACUUGUCAGUUCUCUAAUCUAGGUUGUAUGUUCCAUGUACAUACACUUAAUUAGUUACCAUAUAUAUAUUGUCUUAUUUGAAAGAUGACCUUGAGUAAGAAAAUUGUAUAGUUGGACCAUCCACUUCCAUUUAUGCCUAGCUAUGUCAUCAACAUACAUUUAUUUCCUCACAAUAUUUUAGUAAGUGGAAACUGUUUAUUCAUGGAUUUGGUUUCCAACUUGAGUGAACAAGCAGAAGCACCUUUGUAUGUAGACUAGAAAAUAAAUUUGUGUGGCCUUACCAUUAAUUAAUUUGACUUUGAAUGUAAAAAAGUAAAGUGAUGAGCUAAAUGACAUCAUGUACUGGCUAUGAACCCUAGGCAACACAUCUGUAUGUAUACUAAACUAAAGAAUUACGUCACAACAUUACUUCCAUCAAUCUUAUAUCGUGUAUUCUAUCACCAUUAUGAAAGGCAUUAUUUGGCACAAAAUUGCUAUCAUUCAUUAUAUAUGUUAAAAUGUACUGUAAUAUGCAAAUUUUUAAAACUAUUUUCAGAAAAUUACAACAAAGAAAAGUUAAAAUUUUAAUUAAUCUGACAUUGAUUAAUUUUUGUUAUGAUUUGUAUAACUAAUGGCUUAUAAGUUUUUACAUUGCUGCUUAAAAUUAAGGUCACUAAUAGUAAAGGUUUGUCUGUGAAUCAGCCAUUACAUAUACAUGUAAAUAUUAAUAAAAGCGUAAUUGCAAUUUGCAAUAAUGGUUUGUUAUACAUGUUAUAAGCAGUAAGUUUGGCCCAAAUGUCAAAAUAAGCUCAAAAACAUGGCUAAUUUAUAAUGGUCUUGCAAUCUACUUUGAUUUUUAUCAUUCCGGUAUGUUGGUAGGUUUAUAUCAGUUUAUAUGAUGUUGGCAGUCUAUGAAGGCCAUGUUGAUGGUUAAUUAGAUGGGGUAUAGACUUAAAUACAUAAGAAAUGCUGAUAUACAUAUUUGUGAUAAUUUAUAUUCUUUAAGAGCUCACCUAGCCCAUUGGUCUAGGUGGCCUGUUUCAUCAUGUGGAGUCUGCUGUCUAUUUUUGUCAUAAACUAUAGAAAAAAACAAGGCUGUGGUGAUAAAAUAAGUCAUAAGGGUAAAAUUCUUGAAUUAUCUUAUAUCUAGAAACCAUAAUAAAUAGGUAAAAUUUUACAGAAACAAGAUCUACUUUCUUUCUAUUUUCAGCUCAUUUCUGAUGAUAUUUGUUAUAAUGGCAGAGAUAUUGUAAUGAGGGUUUAUGUUGUCUCCUUACCUAACACCUUCUUUAAAUCAUACUUAUAGCCUGACUUUAAUAAAGUAAAAUAUAAAAGGAUUUAAAAAGCAUCAACCUGGCAAGAUCAGGUGAAUAAACUAUGUUCUUUAUUGAUAAAUAAUGUACUUGAACUAAGGUUACAAAUUAUAAUGCAAAUUGAAGUUGUUUGUCAGUUAAAAGUUUAACUGUAUGUCACAUUUAGUUUUAAAUAAUCUUAAGUUUAAAUGAAUAAUGAAAAAUGCAGUUUUGUAUCAACUUUUACAAACUGUUGUAAUAGUACGUGUAACUACAUCCUUUAAGUGCAACUUUCUUAUUGCAUCUUAAAAAUACAGCAUUUAAACAUUUGGAUUACAUACACAUGAACAUGUACCUGCCAACUCCUCAAAAUCUCCAUGCAGGAUUAUUAGCACAAAAGAAAAUAAUGCAAUGAUGAACUCAAAGGAGAAUUUUAAGAGUCCGACCAAAGCCUUUCAUUGGGGGAAGUCUCUUAAUUUAAUUUGGAAAGUUGUCAGGUGUACUUGAUCUACAGUUUAUGUUUGGCUUACUAGUUUAUUUUUGGUAACAGAUGUGUCAUUGUCUUAUCAUUUUUAUGGAGAGGGACAAAGACCACAAUUAAUGACCUUUAUUUUUGUUGUCCACAAAUUAAGUUUUCUUUAAUUAUCGUGUUUUUUUCUUUCUCUUUCUCAUUCAUGUCUAAGUUUUUGUUUGUUGGAAAUAAAAAAAAUUAGUUGGAUGUUUUAUUUUAACUGAUAUAUUGAUAAAAGGAAAGGUCAGAUUAGGUCCAAAAAGGUAAUAUUUAUAGAAUUCAGAACAGCAGUAUUGUUUAAAUGUGUAAACUGUAGAGAUAAAUUUUUUCUAAAAGUUUGAGAUAUUUAAGAAACUGUAUUAAUGUAUUAUGAAUAUUAUUUUUUUCAUCAUAUCUGAUUAGUGGGUAUAUUUGUCCUGUUGCUCAGAUAAGAAGUACCUGUAUUAAGCUAGUGCACUCAAAUGUGCAAUUAAUUGUACCAGGUAUGUUUAAUUUUUAGCACCACACAUUAGGUAUAGUUUUGACAUGAAAUGACUGUCACUUUAUUUUAACUUGAAAAACAAAAAGCUAAGGCUGCUUGAAAUUUUAAAAUGCAAUUUUGACAAAAUUAAGAAUCAAAAUCCAUGCCUUAAAAUAAUAACCUCUAAAGGUUGAAAUGCUUUGCUGAGUCUGCCUGACAUCUUUUGUUUUUGAUAAAAGUAUUGAAGAAAAUAAAUACUGAUUUUGGAAUUCCCUGAUUUGAUUUGAAUUUUGUAAUUGAAAAGUAUUUAUAUUUACAUUGUAUUAUGUUAUUCUAUGAAUAUUUGAAGAACAAUUACUUCUGCACCUUUUUAUUUUCAUUUAAAGAAUAGAAAAACUUUCUUUUUGGAUAUAAAUAAGUCAUAAAGAAAAAGAGAAACACUUAAUGUACAAUGUAGUAUAAUCUGAUGCAGCUGUUUCAUUGGGGAAAACAUGAUUAAACACACUGCUAUUGGUGAAUAAUAAAAUAAUAAAUAUUUAAUCUGACUCUAUAAGGUAAUGAUGCUCAGGUAAAACGCAGGUGAGUGACAGGUAUGUUAAUAUCAUUGUUUGAUUCAACAAUGUGUCAUUGGUUUCAUCACAAAUAUUUGUUUACAAUAGGUUAGGUCAGUUGUGGAUUUUCACAUUUAUUUGUAAUGAAAACAUCUUCUGUCAAUCUGUCCCAAGGAAAGGAACAGUAUUAAAGGGAGG
rnacentral:lncRNA from 1 species